rnacentral:rRNA from 1 species
GCAUUCUAAUGUUCAAGGAUCCAGAUCCCAUCUGAUCUUGGAAUCUAAGCAGGGUCUGCCCUGGUUUAUACUUGGAUGGGAGACUACCAAUGAAUUCUGGGUGCC